rnacentral:lncRNA from 1 species
AUUCCGGGCGGGGCGCUAAACUAGAAGAGGGGACGGCGAGCCGGCUGCUCCCCAGCCUGACUUGACUUUCUCCGGGGCAAGGGUUAGGGUUAAGGGAAGCAGAAACGCCUGGAGUGGAUGAGCAGUGGAUCCACUUGGAGCAGCCUUGCUCGAAGAAUACCCCCAGGAUCUCUCCUUGCUGUGGGAAUAAUCCAAAUCACCUUUCCUGGAAGUCAGUUUGCUGAAACUACUGAAGCCAGCAGUUCUUGGAAGUUGAAGAAAAGUCGCUUCCUUAAGAUGUAUCUGAACUGUGCCUCAGACGUAGAAGAUGCCUCCAUGAACGCUGAUUGGAUGAGCAGCGGUCACCUCGUGUGUGGAUUCCUACGUACCUCCACCAUUCCACUAUACAGGGCCUGUGCUAUAAAUCGAUUUUAUUCUUUGAGCAUUCAUCAGAGAUUUUUAAUCUCUAGUUGCUUUUUGUGUUUUGGCUGUUGGGGAAGUGAAGCAAAGCUUUCAUAUCUAGUUUUUAUUUUUCAUGGGCACUUUGGUUCCACAUUGAGCUGUGAUCCAGAAGCUGGAGGGGAAGGGAAGUGA